rnacentral:rRNA from 1 species
AUAAUUGGAGUAGCUAAGUCUUCAAAAAAGAAUAAAUAGACGUUACUGUAGUAAAGGAUGCUAUCAUACCAGCACUAAUGCGCCGGAUCCAAUCAGAAUUUCGUAGUUAAGAGUGCUUGGGCAAGAGUAGUAAUAGUAUGUGUGACCUCCCGGAAAGUCCUCGUGUUGCAUCCCUCC